GUAGGUGGCAUUGUAAGUUGAUAGUGAAAGCGUCCGGCUCAACCGGAUAAACAUUAUCAAAACUGCAAAGCUAGAGGAUGAGAGAGGUUAUUGGAAUUCCCUGUGUAGGAGUGAAAUCCGUAGAUAUAGGGAGGAACACCGAUGGCGUAGGCAGAUAACUGGCUCAUUCCUGACACUAAGGCACGAAAGCGUGGGUAGCAAACGGGAUUAAAUACCCCGGUAGUCCACGCUGUAAACGAUGGAUGCUAGCUGUUAUCGGUAUCGACCCCGGUAGUAGCGAAGCUAACGCGUUAAGCAUCCCGCCUGUGGAGUACGGUCGCAAGACUAAAACAUAAAGGAAUUGACGGGGACCCGCACAAGCGGUGGAGCGUGUUGUUUAAUUCGAUGGUAAGCGAAGAACCUUACCCAGGUUUGACAUCCUUGGAAUUUCUGCGAAAGCAGAGAGUGCUUUAUUGAACCAAGUGACAGGUGAUGCAUGGCCGUCGUCAGCUCGUGUCGUGAGAUGUUUGGUUAAGUCCAUCAACGAGCGCAACCCUUGUGAUUAGUUGAAUUUUUCUAAUCAGACUGCCCUGGUAACAGGGAGGAAGGAGGGGAUGAUGUCAGGUCAGUAUUUCCCUUAUAUCUGGGGCCACAAACACGCUACAAUGGCCGGUACAAAGGGCAGCCAAGUCGCGAGACGGAGCAAAUCCCAUCAAAGCCGGUCCCAGUUCGGAUAGCAGGCUGAAACUCGCCUGCUUGAAGUCGGAAUCGCUAGUAACGGUAGGUCAGCUAUACUACCGUGAAUACGUUCCCGGGUCUUGUACACACCGCCCGUCAAACCAUGAAAGUCGCCAAUACCUGACGUGCUAGCUUGCCUAGCCCUAAGGUAGGGGAGAUGAUUGGGGUU
rnacentral:rRNA from 1 species